AAAGGGGGUAACUGAAGUCACCCCCAUUCCAGAGCCACAAAAGGGAUAGAAAUCCCUAAAACUAAAAAACCAUCUUCUUCUCCUUUCUCUUUCGCGUGGUGGAGAUGGCCACUAUAGCAAGGCGCGGUGGUGAUCGUUGUGCCUUGUUGGAAACUUCGAUCCAAGCUUCUGUCCCGUUCCCCGAAUCUCCUGGCGGUUCACCGUGGAAAUGAGGUGGAAACGAUGGUAGUGCGAAUCCUUCUUCUCCAUCUCUUUCCCGGCGAGGAGAAUGGAACUCUCCCAACUCCGUUUUCAUCCUUUUCAAUGCCAGCUUCAAAUUGAUGGAGGAAGACAAUAAUGCCAAUCCUCCAAGGCUUUCUCGGCUAAGACCUGGUCUCAAAAACCACCACCCCAAAUUUGAAUCGAGUGUUUCACGACGGCUCAGCCUCCCUCCGAUGG
rnacentral:lncRNA from 1 species